AACGAACGCUGGCGGCAGGCCUAACACAUGCAAGUCGAGCGAAGCCUUCGGGCUUAGCGGCGGACGGGUGAGUAACGCGUGGGAACGUGCCCUUUGCUACGGAAUAGCCCCGGGAAACUGGGAGUAAUACCGUAUGUGCCCUUCGGGGGAAAGAUUUAUCGGCAAAGGAUCGGCCCGCGUUGGAUUAGGUAGUUGGUGGGGUAAUGGCCUACCAAGCCGACGAUCCAUAGCUGGUUUGAGAGGAUGAUCAGCCACACUGGGACUGAGACACGGCCCAGACUCCUACGGGAGGCAGCAGUGGGGAAUUUUAGACAAUGGGGGAAACCCUGAUCUAGCCAUGCCGCGUGAUCGAUGAAGGCCUUAGGGUUGUAAAGAUCUUUCAGUGGGGAAGAUAAUGACUGUACCCACAGAAGAAGCCCCGGCUAACUCCGUGCCAGCCGCCGCAGUAAUAC
rnacentral:rRNA from 1 species